UACGUAGGUGGCAAGCGUUGUCCGGAAUUAUUGGGCGUAAAGCGCGCGCAGGCGGUCCUUUAAGUCUGAUGUGAAAGCCCACGGCUCAACCGUGGAGGGUCAUUGGAAACUGGGGGGACUUGAGUACAGAAGAGAAGAGUGGAAUUCCACGUGUAGCGGUGAAAUGCGUAGAGAUGUGGAGGAGCACCAGUGGCGAAGGCGACUCUUUUGGUCUGUAACUGACGCUGAGGCGCGAAAGCGUGGGGAGCAAACAGG
rnacentral:rRNA from 1 species